GAUGAAGAACGUAGCGAAAUGCGAUAAGUAGUGUGAAUUGCAGAAUUCAGUGAAUCAUCGAAUCUUUGAAUGCACAUUGCGGCCAUAGGUAUUCCUUUGGCCAUGCCUGUUCGAGCGUCAUUUACACCCUCAAGCCUAGCUUGGUGUUGGGCGUCUGUCCCGCCGUUCUCGCGCGCGGACUCGCCUCAAAGUCAUUGGCGGCGGUCGUGCCGGCCCCCUCGCGCAGCACAUUUGCGCUUCUCGGAGGCCCGGCGGAUCCGCGCUCCAGCAAGACCUUUCACGACUUGACCUCGGAUCAGGUAGGGAUACCCGCUGAACUUAAGCAUAUCAAUAAGCGGAGGA
rnacentral:misc_RNA from 1 species